AUUGAACGCUGGCGGCAUGCUUUACACAUGCAAGUCGAACGGCAGCACGGACUUCGGUCUGGUGGCGAGUGGCGAACGGGUGAGUAAUACAUCGGAACGUACCCAGUAAUGGGGGAUAACUAUCCGAAAGGAUAGCUAAUACCGCAUACGCCCUACGGGGGAAAGAGGGGGAUCGCAAGACCUCUUGUUAUUGGAGCGGCCGAUGGCUGAUUAGCUAGUUGGUAGGGUAAAGGCCUACCAAGGCAACGAUCAGUAGCGGGUCUUAGAGGACGAGCCGCCACACUGGAACUGAGACACGGUCCAGCCUCCUACGGGAGGCAGCAGUGGGGAAUCUUGGACAAUGGGCGCAAGCCUGAUCCAGCAAUGCCGCGUGCGUGAAGAAGGCCUUCGGGUUGUAAAGCGCUUUUGUCAGGGAGCAAAUCCUUGUGGCUAAUACCCACCGGGGAUGAGAGUACCUGAAGAAUAAGGACCGGCUAACUACGUGCCAGCAGCCGCCGUAAUAC
rnacentral:rRNA from 1 species